ACGCCCACCGCCUCCAGCGCGCCCAGCAGAGCCGCGGCGCUCGCUCCAAGCUCCGCCCCCGGCCCGGCCGUCGCCCCCGCGCCCACGUGGUCGGUAGCGGGGGCCCCCUCCUCCUGCCUGCCCUAGGCGCCCGUAUCCAGCCACGGCCGGGAGCCCAGGAGUAUCCCGAGGCUGCACGGGGUAGGGGUGGGGGGCGGAGGGCGAGUCUUGGUCUUGAGCUGCUGGGGCGCGGAUUCUCUUUCAAAGCCAGAACCAGGCCUGUCCCGGACCCGCGUCCCGGGGAGGCUGCAGCGCAGAGCAGCGGGGCUGGGGCCGGUGGGGGGCCGUUUGGGACGCGCGGAGAGGUCCUGAGCGCGGUGGCUCUGCGUCUCCUAGCUCUGAUCUCCAGGCUACCCCUGUGAUUCCGCGCAGAGGUACCUCUCGGAGGACGCCGGGGUCCCAUGGGCGGCGCCGCGCAGGGCGCUAGGACCCCGCGGGGAGCGGAGGCGGCCUCGGCCCGGGAGCCUGGAGGACCUGGCCGGUCGAUCCGCCCGGGCUGGAAAACUUUCUUUAUAAUUACUUCUCCAGGUCGGAGCGCGCGGCUUGCUAGGCGCGCGGGGCCGGCGCUGUUACCCGGCGUGGAGUCGCCGAUUUUUUUUCCUGCGGGACCGCGGGGCCCCCCAGACUAGCGGAGCUGGACGCCGGGGCGAGCACGGGGAGGGGCGCACCGAGGGAGGAGACAAACUUAACUCUGGGGCCGGGAUUCCGAGGCGGGGGCCGCAGCCCUCGAGGCCCGAAGCCACCGCUUCCUCCCCCGCCUCCCCAUUCAGGUGGGCGCCAACGGCGGGAGCGAGGGUGUCCAGGCCGCCGGGCUGCCAGGUCCGAGCACGCACAGGGAGAACUCUGCCCAGUGGUUCGCCGGGCGCUGUAGUCCCCGGGAUCCUAGGGACCGAGGCGGCCAGGCCCUGGGGCCCCUUGAGUGCGGCAGCUAAUGCUCUCACCGCGGCGGGGGAAGGAGCUUGCCACCGAGACCCCCAGCCACGUGCGUCCCUCGCAUUCUUUACCGGGGCCGGGGUGGCGGCUACGGACCGUCAGCUGGGCCCAGAUGGAGUCUUGGGAGCCCUCAAGUGUCUCCUGUCCUUGCCCGCGCCGCCCCUCGCCACUGGCGCUGAGGCCUGACGCCGCCUGCGUCCCGGCUAGAGGCGCGCUUGCCUACAGGUGAGGGAAGACCCCCUUCACCGACAGUGGCCUUAGGCCUGGCAAGGCGCCACGACCCGCCCAGGAGCCCCGGAGGGGGCACAGCUAAAAACACCGCUGGAGAGCCCCGAGCUUCCACGACGAUCGCAGUAAAGAAGCAGUUUCAUCUGGGCAACGCACACUGCGCUUUAAUCAAGUUCCUAUUCAACAUAGUCCCAGUGAUUAAUAGCCCAACUGCUUCGUUUUCGGUCCAGAGCUCAUAAACAAGAUAUUUUUAGCUUGACGCUUUUGGACGGGAGGGAGUAAAAACCAGAUACGUUAAAUAAAUAUCCCGAUGUGAGCCGGAGAGCUGCUUGCUGAGCCAAAUGCAGGACCCAUUCAUAUAGCAUUCACCUGUGGAGGGAGACCUGGACGGAAAUCAAAAAGCACCAAGAGCGAUUUGCGUUUUUUUCUGCGGUGCUAAAACUAAUGGCUUUUCCUACCUAGGAACAAAGAAACGCCACUGUACAUGCACGGUUCCCGGCCUGUGGAGUUGUGGGAGGAAGGCGAUGUCUGGCCUUUUUUGCACAGCUGCUGUUGCCUGCCCAGAGAUCGGGAACUCUGCCCCGUAGGACUGGAAGAAACCUCAGUAAUGGGAAUAAGACUUUGUCCAAUAGGGGGCUGAUGAAUGUGUGGGGGCGACAAUGGCAAGGAGUGGGACUCCCGGCCCGGGGUUCGCCAACCCCAGGGGCCACAGGUCCUCCUACAAUUGAACCAGAAUUCACCCACCCGGGCCUGCCCUGUGCAGGGUGCCGAGAGCCCAGGGAUGCAUGAGAGGGUGGCUCCUGCCUCUGGGAACUGGGACAGUGGGAGAGACGGAUAAGUUGUCACACAGAGGCUGCUGGGAGGAAGGAGGAGACAGAAGGAGUAGGGGAUGGGACUUCAUUCAUUCAUCAAAUGCACACGAGGCACAAAUGGGAAUCAAGGGUGGAUGUGCUGUGAUGAAGAGAAGUCCUGCCCUGAACAAGGUGGCGCUGUGGAGGAGGCAGAGAUCAGAUUUGUCUGCGGAGGUGUUAUGGACUGAACUGUGUCCCUGCCCCAAAUUCCUAUGUUGAAGGCCUAACCCCCAUGUGACUGUAUUUGGAGAUAAGGCUUUUAGGAAGUCAUUAAAGUGAGAUGAUGUCAUAUGGGUAGGGUCCUAAUUUGAUAGGAUUGGUGGCCUUAUCAGAAGAACAAUGUCAUGGGCAUGCACAGAAAGGAGGUGGCCGUCUGCAAGCAGGGAAGAGGCCCCUCACCAGAACCUGAGGGUGCUGGCAGCUUGGCUUUGGCCUUGGGCAUCCAGCCUCCAGAACCAUGAGAAAUAAAUGUUUAUGGUAGGUCUAUGAUGGCAGCCUGCUUGGACUGAACCGGCGGUGAGACAGGGCUUCAUGCAGGAGCAGACCUUUGAGCUGGGCCUUGAAAGUUGAGCAGGAAUUUGCUGGAAGGAUAAGGGAGGAAGGCUCUUCUAGGAGGAGGGAAUGGCUACAGUACAGUCAUGCAAUCUCAGAUCACUGCAACCUCUGUCUCCCAGGUUCAAGCGAUUCUCCAACCUCAGCCUCUGGAGUAGCUGGGACUACAGGCAUGCACCACCAUGCUCGGCUAACUUUUGUAUUUUUCGUAGAGACAGGGUUUCACCAUGUUGGCCAGGCUGGUCUCAAACUCCUGACCUCAGGUGAUCUGCCUGCCUCGGCCUCCCAAAAUGCUGGGAUUACAGGUGUGAGCCACCACACCAGGCCUAAGCAACUCAUUUCAACACAUAGUUAUGGAAUAUUCUGGCAGUGUAUUAGGCUGAGGUUCUCUGUGUGUUCUGCGGAAAAGUACCUAGAAGGCAUGGUACUCUAUGCAGAACGUUCCAAGGCAUAACAAAUUCUGUCUUCAUAAGGUAGAGAUCAUUUAACCAUUAGGAAGUGUAACUAUAUUGUAUGUAUACCACAUAAAAUCACAACCAUAAGUACUCAAGUCUAUAACGAGUCCAUACUGUCAAAUUCACAAAAAUCAGCUGUUUCCAGUUUUCUCUCUCUCUCUCUCUGUCCUGUCUUUUUUUAUUUUUUUUUGAGAUGGACUCUUCCUCUGUCACCCAGGCUGGAGUGCAGUGGCAUGAUCUCGGCUCACUGCAACCUCUGCCUCCCCGGUUCAAGCAAUUCUCCUGCCUCAGCCUUUCAAGUAGCUGAGAUUACAGGUGAGUGCCACCAUGCCUGGCUAAUUUUUGUAUUUUUAGUAGAGACGGGGUUUCACCAUGUUGGCCAGGCUGGUCUUGAACUCCUGACCUCAGGUGAUUCACCAGCCUCAGCCUCCCAAAGUGCUGGGAUUACAGGCGUGAGCCACCGUGCCCAACCUCCAGUUUUUUCUUAAUAUUCAUCUACUAUACCAUGUGUGUGAUUUCUUUUGUCAUUUUUCAUGUUUAUAAUAUAGUUAGGCUUUGUGUCCCUGCCCAAAUGUCAUCUUGAAUUAUAAUCCCUGUAUUCCCCACAAUCCCCAUGUGUCAAGGGAGAGACCAGGUAGAGGUAAUUGAUUCAUGGGGGCAGUUUCCCCCCAACGUUGUUCUCAUGAUAGUGAGUUCUCAUGAGAUCUCAUGGUUUCAUAAGGGGCUCUUCCCUCUUCUCUCGGCACUUCUCCUUCCUGCCGCCUUGUGAAGAAGGUGCCUUUCUUCCCCUUCAUCUUCUGCCAUGAUUGUAAGUUUCCUGAGGCCUCCCCAGCCAUGCUGAACUGUGAGUCAAUUAAACCUCUUUUCUUAAAUUACCCAGUCUCAGGCAGUUCUUUACAGCAGUAUGAGAAAGGACUAAUACAGUUUGUUGAUUUUAUUUGCUUGCAACUGCUAGCAGGUAAGCAGUAGCUGGCACCAAACAUUCUAGAAAAAGAAAAUUGAGUCAAAAUUUAAAAAUCAGGGCUGGGCACACUAGUUCAUGCCUGUAAUGGCAGCACUUUGGGAGGCCAAAGUGGGAGGAUGUCUGGAGGCCAGGAAUUUGAGACCAGCCCGAGCAACAUAGUGAGACCCCGUCUAUAAAAAAAAUGAAAAAAAUUAGCGGGCAUGGUGAUGUGAGCCUGUAGUCCCAGCUACUCGGGAGGCUGAGGCAGGAGAAUUGCUUGAACCUUGGCGUUUGAGGCUGAGGUGAGCUAUGAUGGCACCACUGCACUCCAUCCUGGGUGAUAAAGCAAGAUCCUGUCUCUAAGAAAAUAAUUAAAAAAAAAAUAAACAUUCAGAAAAUUCUAUCUAGUAAUUUUGUUGAGCAAAUUGGGAAAAGCCCUUCAUUCUAUUUUGGUGGAAAACUUCUUUGGUAAAUGAUGGGUCCCCAAACUCUGCAUCUAGCAUUUGGGGAGCACUGCAGAAGGCAAGCAUUGGAUGUGGCAGGUCGCCCAUGCUUCUGUGAGAUCCGAGACAAGAGUACAAAUGGCAGCCCCCAUAGCAUCUGUUUAAAUAUGAAAAGUUACCAAUCAAACUGAGAAACCGUUAGAGAAAAUAUGUUCUACCUUCUUGUCUUAACACAUACAUCUUUAUCAUGUCCUAGAAGACCGGAUAGAAUCUGGUUUGGGAACAUGGUGGUGUGGGGAUACCCAGCCAUACCAAUUCUCUUCCCAUCCCAUCCUCUAUUCCAUUCCCCGCCAGAAAGGUCCUGAGUCAGGGGUGUGGAUUCCCAACACAGGGCACAAAUGCCGCCUGUGCCCCUUGAAAAAUGCCACACCUUCUUCCUUCCCACAUCCUGGGGCUUGGGGGCCUGGUGAAGAGGACCACGCAGGUCCAGGCAGCUGGCCCUGGGCUGCUAGGGCAGGAAACUCCUUCGCCCGUGGGCAGGAGCAGCCAGAGCGGGACUAGCGGGCGCCCUCUCCUGUGAGGGUCCAGCACAGGGGCCCUCCUGCCUGAGUCUAAGGGUGGGACUAGGCCGGCACUCACAGGGCAAGCAGGAGAGCAGGGACCCCACUGGUCCUCGCCUUGUCUGGGGGCCCCUGGCCCUGCUUCUGUAGGAGGACACGACAGUUGGCAAUAAUUCCACACCUGUGUCCCCAGUUCUUCCCUUCCCUCCACCUCACCAUUCACAUCCUGCUUCUUCCCUUCCCUCCACCUCACCAUGCACAUCCUGCUUCCAGCCCCGGGGCUUUCUCACCUGGA
rnacentral:lncRNA from 1 species